rnacentral:rRNA from 1 species
AACUACCUGAAUUGCGUGUGAUCACCUGCUGAACUUAAGCAUAUCAGUAAGCAGAGAAAAGAACAAACAUGGGAUUUUCCUUAGUAACGGCGAGUGAAA